rnacentral:rRNA from 1 species
UAAUACGGAGGAUCCAAGCGUUAUCCGGAAUCAUUGGGUUUAAAGGGUCCGUAGGCGGUUUUGUAAGUCAGUGGUGAAAGCCCAUCGCUCAACGGUGGAACGGCCAUUGAUACUGCAAGACUUGAAUUAUUAGGAAGUAACUAGAAUAUGUAGUGUAGCGGUGAAAUGCUUAGAGAUUACAUGGAAUACCAAUUGCGAAGGCAGGUUACUACUAAUACAUUGACGCUGAUGGACGAAAGCGUGGGGAGCGAACAGGAUUAGAUACCCUGGUAGUCCACGCCGUAAACGAUGGAUACUAGCUGUUCGGAGCAAUCUGAGUGGCUAAGCGAAAGUGAUAAGUAUCCCACCUGGGGAGUACGUUCGCAAGAAU